CACUUGUCAACAAUAUUGAACAAUAUUCAGGCUCAACAAUAGUUUGUUGAGCCUGAAUAUUGUUCAAUAUUGUUGACAGCUAUGAACAAUGU